CCUACGGGUGGCAGCAGUAGGGAAUUUUCGGCAAUGGGGGGAACCCUGACCGAGCAACGCCGCGUGAACGAAGAAGUUAUUCGUAAUGUAAAGUUCUUUUAACAGGGAAGAAAGAGAAAUUUGACGGUACCUGAAGCCUAAGCUCCGGCUAACUACGUGCCAGCAGCAGCGGUAAUACGUAGGGAGCGAACGUUAUCCGGUUUUAUGGGGCGAAAAGGGUGCGUAGAGGGCAUAGUAAGUCUUAUGGAAAAAUGCUGGCCUCAACCCAGUAUGGCAAAAGAUACUGCAAAGUUAGAGUACGACAGAGGCAAGUGGAACUACAUGUGUAGCGGUAAAAUGCGUAGAUAUAUGGAAGAACACCAGUGGCGAAGGCGGCUUACUGGAUCGAAACUGACAUUGAGGCACGAAAGCGUGGGGAGCAAACAGGAUUAGAUACCCGAGUAGUC
rnacentral:rRNA from 1 species